rnacentral:tRNA from 1 species
GUUUUAAUAGUUUAUAAAAAAUAAUGAUUUUGUAAAUCAUAGAAAGAAUUACUUUAAAACU